GACGAACGCUGGCGGCGUGCUUAACACAUGCAAGUCGAACGGUAAGGCUCUGCUCUUGUGGGGUGCGCGUGUGCCGCACGCGUGAGUGUCACGUGUGUAACCUCUCCUUUACUUCGGGGUAACUUCUGUGAACUCGAGUUCUUAUCGGGUAUGAGCUCCUUCUGCAUGGUUUUUGUUGGUGAGUUGCGCCGUUUCGGGAUGGACGUGCGGCUUAUCGUCUUGUUGGUGGGUUGGUGGAGUACCAAGGCUUGGACGCGUAGCCGGCUUGCGAGGGUGACAGGCCACAAUGGGACUGAGAUACGGGCCAGAGUCCUACGGGAGGCAGGAGUGGGGAAUAGUGCAAAAAGGGCGGAAGCCGGAUGGAGCAACGUCGGGUGCGGGAUGACGGCUUUCGGGGUGGAAACCGCGUGAGCCUGGGAAGAAGAGUGAGUGACGGUAAUGGGUAAAGAAGCACCGGCUAACUACGUG
rnacentral:rRNA from 1 species